GCUGCAUGAAGCUGGAAUCGCUAGUAAUCGCGGAUCAGAAUGCCGCGGUGAAUACGUUCCCGGGUCUUGUACACACCGCCCGUCACACCAUGGGAGUCGGGAAUGCCCGAAGUCAGUGACCCAACCGAAAGGGGGGAGCUGCCGAAGGCAGGCCUGGUAACUGGGGUGAAGUCGUAACAAGGUAUC
rnacentral:rRNA from 1 species